CCUACGGGUGGCAGCAGUGAGGAAUAUUGGUCAAUGGACGAGAGUCUGAACCAGCCAAGUAGCGUGAAGGAUGACUGCCCUAUGGGUUGUAAACUUCUUUUAUAAGGGAAUAAAACGAGGCACGUGUGCCGUUUUGUAUGUACCGUAUGAAUAAGGAUCGGCUAACUCCGUGCCAGCAGCCGCGGUAAUACGGAGGAUCCGAGCGUUAUCCGGAUUUAUUGGGUUUAAAGGGAGCGUAGGUGGAUUGUUAAGUCAGUUGUGAAAGUUUGCGGCUCAACCGUAAAAUUGCGGUUGAAACUGGCAGUCUUGAGUACAGUAGAGGUAUGCGGAAUUCGUGGUGUAGCGGUGAAAUGCUUAGAUAUCACGAAGAACUCCGAUUGCGAAGGCAGCUUACUGCACUGCGACUGACACUGAUGCUCGAAAGUGUGGGUAUCAAACAGGAUUAGAUACCCGGGUAGUC
rnacentral:rRNA from 1 species